rnacentral:rRNA from 1 species
UACGGGGGGGGUAAGCGUUGUUCGGAAUUACUGGGCGUAAAGGCUCGUAGGCGGCCAACUAAGUCAUACGUGAAAUCCCUCAGCUUAACUGGGGAACUGCGUGUGAUACUGGAUGGCUUGGAUUUGGGAGAGGGAUGCGGAAUUCCAGGUGUAGCGGUGAAAUGCGUAGAUAUCUGGAGGAACACCGGUGGCGAAGGCGGCAUCCUGGACCAAUAUUGACGCUGAGGAGCGAAAGCUAGGGGAGCAAACGGGG